rnacentral:rRNA from 1 species
GACGAACGCUGGCGGCGUGCCUAAUACAUGCAAGUAGAACGCACAGUUUAUACCGUAGCUUGCUACACCAUAGACUGUGAGUUGCGAACGGGUGAGUAACGCGUAGGUAACCUGCCUGGUAGCGGGGGAUAACUAUUGGAAACGAUAGCUAAUACCGCAUAAUAUUAAUUAUUGCAUGAUAAUUAAUUGAAAGGUGCAAUUGCACCACUACCAGAUGGACCUGCGUUGUAUUAGCUAGUAGGUGAGGUAACGGCUCACCUAGGCGACGAUACAUAGCCGACCUGAGAGGGUGAUCGGCCACACUGGGACUGAGACACGGCCCAGACUCCUACGGGAGGCAGCAGUAGGGAAUCUUCGGCAAUGGACGAAAGUCUGACCGAGCAACGCCGCGUGAGUGAAGAAGGUUUUCGGAUCGUAAAGCUCUGUUGUAAGAGAAGAACGGGUGUGGGAGUGGAAAGUUCACACCGUGACGGUAUCUUACCAGAAAGGGACGGCUAACUACGUG